AUGCGGCUUUCUUCUUCUCUUCAAGAUUUGCCAACUUUCUCCAGAAUUGAAACUUUAGAAAGGGGCUCUAGCAUUGGUGGUGAUCUGAGCUCAGGGCGUGCGAAGCCUGUCCGCACACUUCAAAGAGAAGGUCCUGUAGCAAGCUUUUCCAAAGAGAGAACGCCCCCAUCAUCACCAACAAAUCGAAAGAAAUGGAUGAGAACAGUUGGUUGGGCUGUUGGUCUGAUCCUAUUGGUGUGCUUCAUAUAUGCUUCUUUGAGAUAUUUCCAUGUCUUUCUCUCAGAAGGUAGCUCUGAAUACUAUGUGAUUCUUGAUUGUGGCAGCACUGGUACAAGAGUGUAUGUUUAUGAGUGGUCCAUCAAUCAUAAUGAUGGAAAUUCAUUUCCUAUUGCUUUGAAACCUUUAGGAAAUGCUCCUAAGAAAAAAUCUGGUAAAUUAAUUGGGCGUGCCUAUCAACGAAUGGAAACUGAACCUGGGUUGAGCAAGCUUGUUCACAAUGAAACUGGUAUGAAGAAGGCAAUCGAGCCCCUCCUUCAAAUGGCUGAGCGACAGAUCCCAAGACGCGCACACAAGCACACUCCUGUUUUUCUAUAUGCCACAGCUGGUGUCCGCAAGCUACCCACUGCAGAUUCAGAGUGGCUUAUGGAUAAGGCUUGGGAUGUUCUGAAGAAUUCAUCAUUUUCUUGUAGUAGAGACAGAGUUAAGAUCAUCAGUGGCAUGGAAGAAGCUUAUUAUGGAUGGGUAGCUCUUAACCACCACCUGAACAUGCUUGGCACCUCAUCUUCUGCUUCUGAAAUGACUUAUGGUUCACUUGAUUUAGGCGGAUCAUCAUUACAGGUUACAUUUGAGACUGACAAAGCCGUCCAAGGUGACACAGGCGUUGGUCUGACCAUUGGUUCUGUCAAUCAUCAACUUAGUGCUUAUUCUCUUUCUGGUUAUGGAUUAAAUGAUGCAUUCGAUAAAUCUGUGGCACAUCUAGUGAAGAUGCUGGGAGGAACAGCUGGUAAUGGCAAAGUUCAGGUCAAACAUCCUUGUCUACAAACUGGAUACAGGGAAGAUUAUGUUUGUUCUUACUGCCAGCCACUCAAACAAGAUGGAAGUCCCAGUGUUUCAGCAAAGACAACAGGAAAAGAGAAGCAGGGAACAGCUGUUGAACUGAUCGGGGCUCCUCAGUGGAAAGAAUGUAGUGAUCUUGCAAAAGUAACAGUGAAUCUUUCAGAGUGGUCCAAUUCAAGUUCUGGACUUGAUUGCAACCUUCAACCUUGUGCUCUUGCCAGCACCUUUCCGCAACCACAUGGGCAGUUUUAUGCAAUGUCUGGUUUCUAUGUGGUCUUCAAAUUUUUCAAUUUGACUCCUGAUGCUACUCUCGUUGACGUUCUAAAAAGAGGUCAGGAAUUUUGUGAAAAACCAUGGGAUGUUGCAAGGAGUAGUGUUCCACCGCAGCCUUUCAUAGAGCAGUAUUGCUUCAGGGCUCCUUAUAUUACAUCACUUCUGAGAGAGGGACUGCAAAUCAAAGAUAACCAAGUGAUAAUCGGUUCAGGUAGUAUCACUUGGACUCUUGGUGUUGCUUUGCUAGAGGCUGGGCAGGCACUGUCAAGGAUGGAUAUUCAAGGAUACAUUUUACUGCACCGGGAGAUAAACCCAAAUAUUCUUAUUGUAUUGUUUCUGAUUUCAAUCGUGUUGGUCAUAUGUGCAAUAUUGUGCGUUAGCAAUUCCAUCCCAAGGUCAUUCCGCAAAUCCUAUUUGCCGCUUUUUAGGCCGAACAGCGGAGGUAGUUCUGCACUUGGUAUGGGGUCGCCUUUCAGAUUUCAUUUAUGGAGACAUAUUAAUUCAGGUGAUGGGAGAACAAAGACACCAUUGAGCCCUACUGUUGCUGGGUCAGAGCCCCAUCCAUUCAGCAUGACCCAUGGAUUAGGAGGCAGCAGCGUCCAGCUUAUGGAAUCUUCCAGGCAAUCGUUGGGUGUAUAUCAUAGCUAUUCAGUUGGGAGCUUGGGUCAGAUGCAGUUUUCUAGUGGAUUACGGAACCCUACCAGAGGUCAGACAACACUUCAGAGCCGGAGAUCCCAAUCGAGAGAAGAUCUCACGUCUUCAUUAGCUGAUCUUCAUAUUCCAAAGGUGUAG
rnacentral:rRNA from 1 species